GGUUAGUUUGCUUUCAUCAUCUUAAUGGAAACUGGGAAACUAUACACUUCCAUUACAAUCAGAUGGCCUACACAGAGAUUCACUCGUUGUAAGUGUCAGCGAAGGAAAGAAAAAGGAACUAAGUUUUGCAUUUUUUCUUUUUUUUUUUUUUUUUUGAGGGGGAACACGAAACACUAGUUAUAUUCUAACAGGUUGUGCAUGUCAAAUAAUGUUACAGCAUUCAUGCCUGCUAAAUGAUCAUGGGCCAAUGCAAUAAUGAAGUCUACACUCUACACCAAACAUUAUUUCAUUUUCAAAUGGACCGCACUUGCCUAUGAGUAUUUGGACAAGCAUGAAGAGACAAAGGACACCACAACAAUGCCUAACAAAUUGUGCCAAGAUAAAUUUAGUCAGGAUCAACAAGGAAGCCAAAGACUAGUUGAGUACUAAUUUAAGUAAUCUGGCAAAAAAAGCAAUGUCAAAUCCCAACUAGCUGGGAUUUGACAUUGCUUUUUUU
rnacentral:misc_RNA from 1 species